UAAAAAGCGAUGAAGGGAAAUAAUUCUUUUUAAGACAGUGCAGAGAUUCUGCCGUAUGGUGAGAGGCGGAAAUGUUACAGAAAGAAUGAGCCGUCCCAGAGCUCCUUGCGGAGAGCAAAGGCGUUUUAUCUGCGUUAAAGAUAAAAAAGAGGUAACUGUCUGGAUCCUAAAAAGGCAGUUGCAAUUUGGGUGGUACCACGGACUCUUCCGUCCCAUUG
rnacentral:ncRNA from 1 species